rnacentral:rRNA from 1 species
GCUAUCUGCAGUCGAGGGGCAUCGCAGGUAGCAAUACUGGGCGGCGACCGGCAAACGGGUGCGGAACACGUACGUAACCUUCCUUUAAGUGGGAGAUAGCCCGAAGAAAUUCGGAUUAAUACCCCAUAAGAUCAUAGAGUGGCAUCACUUAGUGAUUAAAGAAUUUCGCUUGAAGAUGGGCGUGCGGCUGAUUAGGUAGUUGGUGAGGUAACGGCUCACCAAGCCAACGAUCAGUAACUGGCGUGAGAGCGCGACCAGUCACACGGGCACUGAGACACGGGCCCGACUCCUACGGGAGGCAGCAGUAAGGAAUAUUGGUCAAUGGACGGAAGUCUGAACCAGCCAUGCCGCGUGAAGGAUGAAGGUCCUCUGGAUUGUAAACUUCUUUUAUAUGGGAAGAAACCACUUUUAUCUAAAGGUGUUGACGGUACCAUAGGAAUAAGCACCGGCUAACUCCGUGCCAGCAGCCGCGGUAAUACGGAGGGUGCAAGCGUUAUCCGGAUUCACUGGGUUUAAAGGGUGCGUAGGCGGAUUGGUAAGUCCGUGGUGAAAUCUCCGAGCUUAACUCGGAAACUGCCAUGGAUACUAUUAGUCUUGAAUAUUGUGGAGGUUAGCGGAAUAUGUCAUGUAGCGGUGAAAUGCAUAGAUAUGACAUAGAACACCAAUUGCGAAGGCAGCUGGCUACACAAAUAUUGACGCUGAUGCACGAAAGCGUGGGGAUCAAACAGAAUUAGAUACCCUGGUAGUCCACGCCCUAAACGAUGAUUACUCGACAUUUGCGAUAUACAGUAAGUGUCUGAGCGAAAGCAUCAAGUAAUCCACCUGGGAAGUACGACCGCAAGGUUGAAAC